rnacentral:rRNA from 1 species
UGGGGAAUAUUGGGCAAUGGGGGAAACCCUGACCCAGCAACGCCGCGUGAAGGAAGAAGGCCUUCGGUUGUAACUUCUUUUAUCCAGGGAGCGAAGGACGUGACGGUACCUGGAGAAAAAGCAACGGCUAACUACGUGCCAGCAGCCGCGGUAAUACGUAGGUUGCGAGCGUUGUCCGGAUUUACUGGGUGUAAAGGGCGUGUAGGCGGAGAAGCAAGUUGGGAGUGAAAUCUAUGGGCUCAACCCAUAAACUGCUCUCAAAACUGUUUCCCCGUUGAGUAUCGGAGAGGCAAGCGGAAUUCCUAGUGUAGCGGUGAAAUGCGUAGAUAUUAGGAGGAACACCAGUGGCGAAGGCGGCUUGCUGGACGACAACUGACGCUGAGGCGCGAAAGCGUGGGGAGCAAACAGGAUUAGAUACCC